rnacentral:rRNA from 1 species
CAGUAGCCGCGGUAAUACGAAGGGGGCUAGCGUUGCUCGGAAUGACUGGGCGUAAAGGGCGCGUAGGCGGUUUGUUUAGUUAGGCGUGAAAUUCCUGGGCUUAACCUGGGGACUGCGCUUAAUACAGGCAGUCUAGAGUGAGGAAGAGGGUUGUGGAAUUCCCAGUGUAGAGGUGAAAUUCGUAGAUAUUGUGAAGAACACCGGUGGCGAAGGCGGCAACCUGGUCCUUGACUGACGCUGAGGCGCGAAAGCGUGGGGAGCAAACAGGAUUAGAUACCCCCGUAGUCCCUGUCUCUUAUAC